rnacentral:rRNA from 1 species
AGAUUAAGUUAUUAAGGGCGCACGGUGGAUGCCUUGGCACUAGAAGCCGAUGAAGGACGUUACUAACGACGAUAUGCUUUGGGGAGCUGUAAGUAAGCUUUGAUCCAGAGAUUUCCGAAUGGGGAAACCCAGCAUGAGUUAUGUCAUGUUAUCGAUAUGUGAAUACAUAGCAUAUCAGAAGGCACACCCGGAGAACUGAAACAUCUUAGUACCCGGAGGAAGAGAAAGAAAAUUCGAUUCCCUUAGUAGCGGCGAGCGAAAUGGGAAGAGCCCAAACCAACAAGCUUGCUUGUUGGGGUUGUAGGACACUCUAUACGGAGUUACAAAGGACGACAUUAGACGAAUCAUCUGGAAAGAUGAAUCAAAGAAGGUAAUAAUCCUGUAGUCGAAAAUGUUGUCUCUCUUGAGUGGAUCCUGAGUACGACGGAGCACGUGAAAUUCCGUCGGAAUCUGGGAGGACCAUCUCCUAAGGCUAAAUACUCUCUAGUGACCGAUAGUGAACCAGUACCGUGAGGGAAAGGUGAAAAGCACCCCGGAAGGGGAGUGAAAUAGAACCUGAAACCGUGUGCUUACAAGUAGUCAGAGCCCGUUAAUGGGUGAUGGCGUGCCUUUUGUAGAAUGAACCGGCGAGUUACGAUUUGAUGCAAGGUUAAGCAGUAAAUGUGGAGCCGUAGCGAAAGCGAGUCUGAAUAGGGCGUUUAGUAUUUGGUCGUAGACCCGAAACCAGGUGAUCUACCCUUGGUCAGGUUGAAGUUCAGGUAACACUGAAUGGAGGACCGAACCGACUUACGUUGAAAAGUGAGCGGAUGAACUGAGGGUAGCGGAGAAAUUCCAAUCGAACCUGGAGAUAGCUGGUUCUCUCCGAAAUAGCUUUAGGGCUAGCCUCAAGUGAUGAUUAUUGGAGGUAGAGCACUGUUUGGACGAGGGGCCCCUCUCGGGUUACCGAAUUCAGACAAACUCCGAAUGCCAAUUAAUUUAACUUGGGAGUCAGAACAUGGGUGAUAAGGUCCGUGUUCGAAAGGGAAACAGCCCAGACCACCAGCUAAGGUCCCAAAAUAUAUGUUAAGUGGAAAAGGAUGUGGCGUUGCCCAGACAACUAGGAUGUUGGCUUAGAAGCAGCCAUCAUUUAAAGAGUGCGUAAUAGCUCACUAGUCGAGUGACACUGCGCCGAAAAUGUACCGGGGCUAAACAUAUUACCGAAGCUGUGGAUUGUCCUUUGGACAAUGGUAGGAGAGCGUUCUAAGGGCGUUGAAGCAUGAUCGUAAGGACAUGUGGAGCGCUUAGAAGUGAGAAUGCCGGUGUG